GUGCCAGCAGCCGCGGUAAUACGUAGGGGGCAAGCGUUGUCCGGAAUUAUUGGGCGUAAAGCGCGCGCAGGCGGUUCCAAAAGUCUGAUGUGAAAGGCCACAGCUCAACUGUGGAGGGCCAUUGGAAACUGGGGAACUUGAGGACAGAAGAGGAGAGCGGAAUUCCACCUGUAGCGGUGAAAUGCGUAGAUAUGUGGAGGAACACCAGUGGCGAAGGCGGCUCUCUGGUCUGUAACUGACGCUGAGGCGCGAAAGCAUGGGUAGCGAACAGGAUUAGAAACCCCCGUAGUCC
rnacentral:rRNA from 1 species